GUGGUAAUUUGUCCUUUAAUUGAGGACUGGUAUGAAUGGUUUGACGUGUGAUUGCUUUUUUUACAUAAGUUUUAUGAAAUUUCCUUUUAAUGUGAAAAGGCUUAAGUUUUUGAAAGAGACGAGAAGACCCUGUCGAACUUAAUUAGAACUAUUGUUUUGAGUAGAAUCAGCAUAAUAUGUUUAUAAAUUUUAUUGGGGCAAUAUUGGCUAAAGAAACAGCUUAAAUUAAACAAAGAUCCUUUAAAGAAAGAAAUUUGGCAGAAGUUACCGCAGGGAUAACAGCGUUAUUUUUCCUGAGAGAUCGAAUNGAGGGAAAAG
rnacentral:rRNA from 1 species